GUUCUUAUCGUCUAAGGGUUAGGACAUUGCUCUUUCACAACAAAAAUACGAGUUCAAAUCUCGUUAGGAAUA
rnacentral:tRNA from 1 species